rnacentral:rRNA from 1 species
UACGGAGGGUGCAAGCAUUAAUCGGAUUUAUUGGGCGUAAAGGGCGUGUAGGCGGGUUAGUAAGUCAGAUGUGAAAUUCCAAAGCUCAACUUUGGGACUGCAUUUGAAACUACUAGUCUGGAGGUUUGGCGGAGAAAAUGGAAUUCCACGUGUAGCGGUGAAAUGCGUGGAUAUGUGGAAGAACACCAGUGGCGAAAGCGGUUUUCUAGCUUAUACCUGACGCUGAGGCGCGAGAGCAAGGGGAGCAAACAGG